UUAGGGCUUCCAAUUUUUCAUUUUUCGAAUCCCAAAAAAAUGGAGAACCCUAGCAGCAGUAAAAGAACCACCGCCGGAGCCCUAGAAGAGAACAUCUUGGCCAUCCUCGACUCCACCGAAGCCGACGACACUCACUACGCCAACGACGACAGAACUUCUUUCCUCGAUGCCGUUCGCGCCGCUUCGCUUGUGCCCGAAAUUGGGACUCCACCCACUUAUAAAUGGUUUGAGUCGAUAUUCUCUAUCUUGAGGAUUGGGAAAUCUCUGGAGCUGACUAUGGCAAGUUUUAAGCUGUUGAAUGAGUUGGAUAAGUGUUUUCCUCGGGUGCAUUUGUCUGCUGCUGCUGAUGAAAUGAAGUCGUCCAGUGAACUUUCAUUAAUAGUGGAGAAUGAGGGUUGGUCACCUUUUGCUUUCAGCUUGGAUAGCACUAGUAGCGAGAGGGUGGCUGCUAAUAAUCCUGGGGGAUACGUUGACUCCUUUGGUUUCCAACAUUUGAUAGAGAACCUUGCUGAUGCAACUGCUGAACCAAACUUCCAAGCCUCAGAAGCAAAGUCCUUAGGAAACAUGUUGCUGUUCCAAUACCUAGUUAACGUUCUUGAAGGAGAUUUUCAACCUCGCAACUCUGUAUAUGCAGAAACUGCAAACUGGGUCCUUCUGAGAGAGUCUUUGAUCAACAUGCUUUUGGUGUCAAGAAAAAUAAACUACAAAAAAUUGAUGAAGGAUUGCUUGGGCAUUAUGUGUAAGCUGUAUCAAACCAAUGCUGGAUUCACCGAUGAUCUGAUAAGUUCAAAGAAGUCUAUGGCAGUACCAGCUAAAAAUUUUGAUACAGCUGCUGCGAUUGCUUUGCUUGAGAUAGGACAGAAUACGUGCACAGCCAUGCAGAAGUUUUUUAUAAUGAUUAUGGAGCUUGACUUGUCGAAAAAGAUGGCAGAAACGCGAGGGUCUACGACAAGAGCAGAUGGUGUCAGAAAUCCUCUGCUGGAGAUAGUUCUGGAUGAGCUAACAUAUGAUGAGGAUAUUCUUGACUCAUUCCUUCAGGUUUUCAAUGAACCAAAAUGGAAGCUUGAGAUAGUCGUGCAGUAUUUGUGGAAAUACAUUGGCAAGCCUUCUGUUCAGACUCGUAGAUCAAAUGGUCCCACAGAUGAUGCAUCAUUCAGUGGAGCAUUGAAGUGCUUUUCAAAUGUCACCAGCACAAAAACCACCAUUAAAAAGAUUAGGCCGGAACUAACUCAGUUGCUUUUAGCACACGGUCUUCAGGCUCAUUUGUCCUUACCAUGUGAACAACACGUUGAAGGCACCUCUGUUUCCAGUGAAGAAAGAAGUAUUAGCUCCCUCAUUGAAGUAUCUAAGGAUAUGAUAUCUGCAUUUAGAAAUCUGAAGACUGCAGACAAGAAAAUGGAGAUUUUGCCGCUUGGAAAAGAAGCACUGUUUAUGGCAGCUACUAUCAUAUCUGCACAGUCAUAGCUUGCUAGAGGUAAUCUGGCCCAUAGUUCUUCUGUACAUAUACAAUCCAGGGAAGAAUAGAUGAUUCUGCAGGCCGGGAUGUCAGGUGGAUGUAAUAUCUUCUCAUUCUUGUGCAUGCUUUAGAAGAUUAAUGAGCGGGCUGCAUACUGGCUUUUGUUUUAAGAUGUAUGUAUGAAGCUUGUAUAACUGUAGUGAUAUUCUUGCGUUUAAUUAUGGAAAAAAUGCAGAGUGUUCAAAUAGCAGGAAUUAAGAUUGAACCAUCGGUGGGCAGAUGGCUAUUGGUCAUUGUGUUUCUUGUAAAGGUGUAGUGAUGCCCUAUUUCGUUAGCUAUGUCCAGGCAGUUGCCCGGAGGAUUAUAAAUUAAGA